rnacentral:lncRNA from 1 species
UCACAUUAAGCCCGUUAUCCGUACAUGCUUCAUAGUAGAGUGGCCUGUUAGUGAUAAUGAUCUGAGCAUGGGUUUUCUGGCACAUAAAUAUGUGUAAACCCUUUUAUUGGACCCAACUGUAGUUGUGGGGGAUCGGAUCGUAAUCCGUCCUACCGAGUUCAGUGUCAGAUACCUCUGAACCAACUAACAGUGGGUAAGUUUUCUUUUUCUUUUUUUUGUAGCAAAUUUUUACAAUUCUUUGGUUUAAAUGACUUUGUGAGGGUCGCCUAUACCGGAGUUGCCUUUUUACUUUCUUUUAUUUUUUUGUUUUGCUGGAUAAUUCACUUAUUUGGAUUGGUCCCCUACGUAGAGUAACACCUACAGGAACCUGACACUGGGGCGAGUUUGUUGAUGACUUGAGUAACACCUACAGGAACCUGACACUGGAGUUCCUGAGUUCAUUCGACUAUGACCCAUACUCUGGAGCAGAUGGGUAUACUGCUUUCAGGCUUUUUGGAGUUGAGUACUCUUUCAGCCAGAAAGAGUUCGGCGGCCUAUUGGGUUUCCAAACCACUCCUGAUGCUAUCCCGGAGACACCUAUGGGAUAUUUUCUGGGUAAGGAGGUGGAGAAGUUUUGGAGUGAUAUAUCAGGUGGCGGAAGCCAGGAUCCAUC